rnacentral:lncRNA from 1 species
GUCUAUUGACCUUUUUUUGAGAAACUUCCAUUUGGAGACUAUGGAGAGGUCAAGAUUUCUCUCACUUGCUAAUGGUGCUUCCUUAUCCUCUCACAUUCUUCCCUCUACAAAUAAGUCAAAGCAUGUAUUAUUCAUUAUCUUAAAAGAAGAGGCUCAAAAUAGAACAUUGGCAGAACUAGGGUAGAUUAGAUUUUAUCAUUAUCCCUUUGCCAUUCAUCUGCUUCUCAGGCACAGUCCCUUGCCUGCAGGGUGUAUUUGUGCCCCAUCCCCACCCCAUCAUUACAGGUUUUUUUUUGUUUGUACCUGGGAUCGAACUCGGAUCCUUGCACUUGUGAAGCAGGCAGCAGAACCACUGAGCUAAAUCCCUGGCCUGGGAAUACACAUUUAAAUGAGAUAUAACCUGAUGAUAGCUAACAAGGAAUAAUGAUAAUGAUCUUUCCCAAGGAGAGCUGCUCAUUUGCUUACUCAUUGUAAGUCAGAGAAACUUGAGAGGUGACCCAUUACUUAAUAAUGACUAUGGCCCCAAAGGUGGUUCUGUUAGAUCUAUGCGAAUGUGGAUUGAUUAGUGAAUUUUGGUUUAUUUUGUCAAUAAAAUCCUGAACCACUGCAAUAUUUGUUUUUCCCACUUUGAGGUAGAACUAAUGAAGUUCUUGAACUCUAACUAGAAAUUUGAAGCAAAAACCCAUAUAUGAGAAUAAAUGUAAAAGAAGGGAUGAAUUCCAAAUGGUAUUAUUCCCUAUGUAAUUUCACAAAAGAAAGUGAAGUCCAGUAAUUUUCCAGUCACUCUGACCAGAGGAGAUGGGUAUGCUGUGAUUAUUCAGAUAAAAACCAAAACAAACACAAACACCCUAGAAGGCUAUAAUGAUAACCUAGUUGGCCCUACCCAUAUAAUAAAGUAACAGGCUAGAUAUCAGAUUCCCACUUUACAAGAAAUAGAGAAUGGACGGAUUAGAGAAUGAAUGGCUCCUCAUGAUCAUUAGUGAAUAUUUAAUUAAAGAUUAUUGCCAAAGCAAACUAAGGAAUAGUUAAUAAAAUUGAUGAACUUGUGUAGCUAAUUAAGAUUAUUUGGUCAAUAUAGAAACAAAACAAAUUUGAUUUGGUUUGUUGCCUUCUCGCCUUCCCAAAUGAGAUCUCUACUACCCCAACUUCCUGACCUUUAAAGAAUGUUCCUCUUAUCUGUGAACAAAUUGUGUUGUUAAUUGGGUAAUUAAUUUUAAGUUUUAGACCUCCAUCCUUGCUUUAUUGAGGGGAAUUACUUUAAAAAGGAAAAAUGUGUCCUGGCCCAGCAAUUAUCAAGGGAGUUGUCUUGGGGGAGGGUGAAGGUGAUUUUCCUGUCAAUCAACCUUUAAAAGCACUUAACAAGAGAUUUAGUAAGUCUCCUUUUUCCAGUGAUAAGCUGUCUAGCCAAUUCAUUCUUAGAAUUGAACUUUAGCUAAUUUAUCUACAUUUGCACAAUAAAAAUCAGUGUCACUUCAGAUCCUCCUUGAUGUAGGUUCCAUCUAGCACAAUGGAAACAAUACACUCCAAAAAAGUAGUGAAGGGUUGUUUCAAAUUUGUAUUUGUGUGUGUGCACGCGGCCUAGGUGUAAUUAUCAGGUUAGUGUUGGGUCAGUGGCUAAUGUCCAUGUGAGUGCUGAGUGCCACAGGGAAGAACUCUUUGGUUACAAAGUUGAACAGCUGUUUAGUUCUGAAGGAUGCUUGUCUUAUGGUGGAUAUCAGUCCUUGGGAAUGUAGAGUAAAAUGGUCUUUUGAUAUGACAUUACAGAUUUCUGGGGGAAAAUCAAAACUUCUUUUUUUGGUUUUCAUUUAUAUGGUCAAGAGUAACAUCUUACCAAAAAGAAAAGAAUAAGAAAGAAAAAAGAAUAGGGUGUUAGGACCCAAGACUUCAUUGCUAGGUAAGCACUGUUCCAUUAAGCUGCACCCCCAGCCUCUUAGAAUUCACUUUUGAAAGCUAAAAGACACAGAAUUCACAUUGAUCACCAGCAGUGUUUCCCAAUUACAGCCAAUGGUCCGGAGUUUAUCUUUUUAUAUGGAAGACAGACAGAGACAGUUUUAAGAAAAGUCUCUUUGAUUUGUGUGCCUUGUGUGAUUCUCAACAAGGAGUGAUUCUGUAGCCCAGGGGCCUAUUAGCAAUAUGUGGAGACAUUUUUGAUUGUUAUGAUUGAGGGGUGCUGUUGACAUCUAAUGGAUGGAAGCUAGAGAUGCUGCUAAAAAUCCUACAAUUCACAGUAAAGUCUGUUACAACACAGAAUUUUCCAUUCCCGUGUUUAGGUUGAGAAACUCUGAAGGCUUGGUUUAAAUUUGUGAAGCAUUCUUCCUGUACCAUGUCCAGAAGUGAUGAGAUAAAAUAGAACAAUAAUAGUUACCAACUUAAAUGUAUAUAGGAUUUAUUUAAAGUUAGAUACAAUUACCCAUUUUUAUCGACAUGAAAGGUAAGAGUUAUAGAGAAAAAUGCAUAACCUCCCCUAGCAUUCUGAUAGUGAUGAGGCAGGCCCAUAGUUUAGAGUCGCUUCUACUUCAAUUUCUAUGCCUCAGAAAAAUUAUAGUUCAUUGAUGUCGUCAAACUUGUAAAAGCUAAAUUGUCUGCAAAGCUCUUUGGGAGGCUUUUUAGUUUUCAUGACUAUGUUGCACAUGUUUUUCUGAGUGAUCAAUAAUAGACAACAAGGUUUCACAGACAUGAAACCAGUAAGGGGAGAAAGUUUUUAGAAUGGGCCAAUGUUUUCUUCUUUAACUGCUCAUCAUACACUUUAUUUCUUUGGGCUAAGUACCCACUCAUUAAAGAUGGCAUGUAGAUUAUGGAAAAUAUCCUCGCUAGAUCCACACAGGAUCUCACUUCCUGUUUUCAAGAACAUAGUAAGUCUAAGCACAGGCCCUGGGUACAGGGCUUAUUAUGAUAUGUGCAUAAACUACUUCAUUAGGGCAUAAAACACAUAUGUGGUCUCAAAAAAUUUGACAUUUUCCCUUUAAUUUAGCAUACCAAUAUCACAAGUGAUAAAAUAAAGAUCAGAUCACUUCCCAUUGGAAAACCAAGGGCAAGAGAAUUUAAAUUAGUCAUUCAUUUAUUUAUUUAUGCAUGCAUUCAGGAAAUAUUUGUUGAAUGCAUACCAAGUACAGAUCACUAUAAUGAACGUUAUAAUAGACUAGAGAAUCAAAUGUGGAAUAAAGAGCUUGAAUUCAAAUCCCUGAAACCCUAGACUAAUUUAUUUUUCUAUGUAGUUCUGAUCAACAUGCUAGAAUUAUUGUUUAAAUAUCAAAUUAUAAAUAAUAUAUAUUAAGGAUUUAUUAUAAUGUGCCCAAAACUCCAAGGGCUUUACAUACUUUAUCUCAUUUAAUCCUGUAAUAACCCAGUGAAAUAGGCCUUGUCACUAUCCUCUUUCUUACAAAUGAGGUCUGUGAGGCUCAGAAACAGAAAGUAGCAAAAGCCCAUAGCUCAACAGUGGCAGGGCUGAUUUUCAUUUGAUGUGUUGAACUCCAAAGGCUGAUGACUUACCCAUCUCAUAACCUCUGCUCUUUGUUCUCUGGACUUUGUCUGUUACUUAUCUCUUCUACUCUAACCAACUGGAGGCCAGGAUGAUCCUAGCCUGACAUGUUUCCUGAAAGUCAUUAGUUAAUUUAAAUUGAAUAUACAACUAGACAUGUGUCUUCCAAGAAGACAAAGAUUUGGAAGGGUAGUUUUUCUGCCAUGGGCUGUAAUUUAUGCCACAAACAUUAUAUGGAGCCUUAAUGUUCCAGAACAAAUACCUGGUAAGUAUUGAUCCAUUCUGAAACCCCAAGUGGCAGACUAGCUCCCACCCAGGAGGAUUCUACCCAUGACUGUGUGCUGUGCUGCAUUUAGGUCACCCGGGGAAGUUUCAGAAGUAAAAUAGGUGUGUGAGCGUAGAUAAGUGUAUUCAUACAUAUAUGUAUUUACAUGUCUUCUAGUUUCACCUUUGACUUUAAAACCUUUUUGUAAAAUUCAAAUCAGCUCAGAAAUCCAAAAGAAUUGUGUGUUCCCCCAACAUCUCAUUGUUACUGCUGUAGGUUGGGGGGAAAGAGGCAGCUGCAGAAAAGGAGCUGCACUGACAUAGAUGAGAGAGUGUGAGUACGCGUGUGUGUGUUGAUGUGUUCUGUGUUUGUGUAUAAAGCUACAUAUAUAUGUAUAUAUGUGUUUACAUUUAUCUAAAUGUAUAUAUAUAAAUAUAUAUCUACUAUAUAUAUGUAUACACACAUGAAACUCAUAGUUUGAAACUCUUUGGAAUUUUGAGUUUGGGAAAAUUAUUACAAUUUAUAUUUGGUUUCCUAGAAAGUCUACUAUAUUUCUGAUUUCCAACAUUUUCUUCCACUAUGAAUGUAUAUAUUUAUUUGUAGUACAGAGAAUAUGAUUGGAAUACCUCGAUUUAACAUUAUUGGAUACAAAAGUUCAUUUCAAGAACUGUCAAACUUAUAAAACUGGCUUUCUUAUUAAACCAUUUGUUGGAAUUUCAAACUAUGUGUUUUCAAACUUGUUCAUUCCAAAAAAAAAAAAAAAUUAAAAAUCCAAAUGAACAGUGAUGAUUCUUUGGAACAAAAGAAAAAGAAAAUAUAGGUAUGGGUAGCACAAAACCAGUGAUUAUUGGCUUCAUGGUACAUAUUGGAUAAUCCCCUGUCAUCUCCCACUUGUUUCUAUUUUAUCAUUCGUGGUGGUCUCUAUGGCUUACAUGAUGUAUAGGUGGAGCUAAUUGUUUAAUUAUUUUGAAGCUAUGGUAGAUAAUUUAUAAUAUGCAUAUUGUAAAUAGAUACUAAAGCUCAAGGGCACAUUGUAUUAAUAACCAAACACUCUCUAGUCUUCUGCAAAGAAGUCUUUCAGCCUGUUUAUACAAAUACCAAAAUAGUUGCUCAAAGAAGGAAAUGAAAUAAAAUGUUAUUUAUUUUGGCAUUCUAUACAUAUCACAACCAAAUGACUGAAUUUUGGGCACUCCUACAAAUACAGUAAGUUAUGGUCUCGUUUAUAGCCAUGGGCUUUGCCUCUUACUGGAAAAUAUGAAAAGUGUUUAAGUCAACCUAUGCAAACAGAAUUUCCCCGUUGCUCCUCGGGAUCUAUUUGUAUGUGAACAAGUCUAUCCCUUCAGAAACAUAUGGUUCCCAGGCCAGGCCUGGGAAGUUGAGAUACCAGGCACAGACUCCUCCUCUGACACACCUAAAGUACCUGUGAAUGAAGCAAAUAUAGUCAUUCAUUUUUUUCCCUAUAAGUCCCUUGAAGAUUGAUCUUAAAAGCAUUAGGAAAAAGUUCUUUUAUAUUAUAAAUAUUCUAAUUAUUUAAAUAUUUAUAUAUUUAAAUAUUCUAAUUAGGAUUAGGAACACUUAAAGGAAUGAUUAUUUUUCUCCAAAAGUUUGGAACAGAAGGAGAUUUUACAUCAUCCUGGCUUCAAGUUUCCUUGCCAUUUUUCUUUGUUUAUUUUUAAUUUCAAAGGAGAAUGUUGAAUCAGGAGAAUUUUUCUUAAGACACUCUGCUUAAUUAUUUUUUUUAAUCAUGAGGAGUGGGGAAGUGGGAGUGCCAGAACUCAUGACCUUGUUUCUGUUCUAAAAAAUAGAUUCAUAAAUUGCUGAAAAAAUAUACUACUUAAGAUACACAGAAACACCAAUUUAGGGAAGCUGCAUUUCAGAGCCCAGUGAAAGUUGUUAAUGGAAUCUGCUUUAUGUGGGUCACUCCUUAGAUUGGUCAUAGUGUUCAGCUUAGUCUGCAAAAUAAAGAAUCUUUCUGUUGGCUGAAGGAACUUAAAUAAAAAUCUUAGUUAAAUUCAUGUUUCCUACAUCUUUUAUAACCAGGACAGUACUGGGUAGAACCUAAAAAACAAAAUAAUUUAUACAAGUUAAAUUGACAUGUUUAAAUAAUAUCAGCACGACCCUUGACACUUACAAAAUUAAGGACCCUGUUGAUUAGAUUACCUGGAGAUCUUCAAAUAUAUUUUACCUGGGAUUGUCAAGUUCUUCUUUCUGUCUCUGAUGCUUUGAAUGUGAUCCCAGCACAGACAGACAAGUCUGAAUUUUGCUGGAACUUACAAUGGCAAUUUAUUAGGGCCUUGCUCAUGUUACUUUUUCCUGACCUGAAUCAAGCACUUGAUGACUUGGGUCAGUUUCUUGCACAUUGAUGUAUACCAAGUGACACCCAUUGAAAUUACCUCUUCUCUUUUCCAGUGCAGUUUGCUUGUACAUAAGUGUAAUGUCAAAUUGUUUACAGGUUCUUUUUGUGUGUAUUUGUGAUAGCCGAUUUAGCUCAAACUUUAAAGGAAUCUGUUUACUGAAUGGUGUUAAAAUGGAUGUGCUUAUUACAGUAUAAACAUCAUUAAUUAUGGACUCACAUGAAUGCAUGUCUACAUGUCAUCAAUUUCCAACAGCUUGGUUAUUCAGCAAAAGUCUGUGGUCUGUGAAUAGCAAAUAUACAUAAACUACUGUGACUCUAAUAACUCAAUAACUGUUUUACCUUGGUAUGUAACACUGUAGAUCUCAGCCUGCUGUAUUUUUUUCUUACCUAUGUGUUUUUGUUAGACAAACAUGCUAAAAAAUAGUGAUACUAAUGUCCCAGUGGAAUUGCACACUAUUUUGGCAAUUAUUGGUCCACUCAAAAGGCAACUGCCUAUAGAUGGAACAACAGCCCUGAGCAACAUAUAAAUAUAUACAUACAUAUGUAUGCAAUAUCUACAAUGCUAAUUACUACCAUCUAUUCUCACUGCCAAUGGAAACAAACUACUAUUUUCUUUGAAAUCACUGAUAGAUACAAAAUUUAUUUGCUAUUAACUGCUUUCAUAUUCUGUUUAGUUCUUAUAGUAUGGUAGAUGAUACAGGUGCAGUAUCAGUAUUGUAAAAUUGUAUGGUGAAAACUAAAAAAGUCAUUCUGUGGAUAUAUUUUAAAAGGCAGAACAGAAACUAUAUUUCAGAUUCUUGUGUGAAAAUAAUUACAGAAAUAGGUAACUAUUUUUUAUGUGUUUCCAUAAAUGACUCCAUUUCAUAUACAUUGUAAUUUAGCACCAAUCAUAAUAAAUCAUUUCAUAACAUUUAGUUGUUAUAUAUAUUUUCAGAAUAUAUGAGAAUGAUGAUUCAACAUUAUUUCAUGUGAAUUUAAGAAUUUUACAUAAAAGAUAAUUGCUGUUGCAAUUAGCUUGUUUCCAGUUUGGUGUGGGAACUUGCUGAUUUGGGCUACAAAAAAAGAGAAAGCUUAGUAAGUUGAUUAUUUAAUAUAUUUAGAAUGAAACUGCAAUGGAUGGAUGCCUUUCUUGCCCCUGCCUCUUGUUAAUUGUGUGUUGCACUAUUUGCUUAUUUAUUAUUUAUCAAACCUCUUUAAACUCUAGUUUCCUCAUCUAUAAAUAAGAGAUAAAAAAUAAUAGAUCAUAAGAUUCCUGUAAGAAUUAAAUUAGAUAAUCCAAGAAAAGCAUUUUUCAGUGUCUAACACGUUAAAAAGAUGCUUAAUAAUGCCUAUUUAUUUUCAUUACUAUUACUCAAAUAUUCAAAUUUUAGAGUUUGGCUUUAACACAUAAAAUAUAUGUAUGUAUAUAUAUGUAUAUAUAUGUAUAUAUAUUUUUUCUCUUUAGUAUUUCUACUUGUUAUGCUUUUUAAUCAGAGGAGGAGAUUACAAAGAGAAAAAGAAUUCUUGAACUUGUAGGAGUUCUAGAAAUAAUUUGGACUUUUGGUAAUGUGAAGUGUGUUUAUUAGAACUCUUCUCCCAUGAUGUGCACUCAAAAUAUGGAAGGAAUGGGAUGAUGUACAGUUUGAGGAAUAUAACCUCUUUACACAAACCACCUUUUAAUUUUUAAAUGCUCUUUAUAUUUAAAGUCCUAGAUGUUUUGCAGAAAAGGAAAUUGCAAACUUCAUUUUCUCAGAAUUUCCCAGACUUCUCUCACCAAGGAGACUUACAGUUUGGGUUGGGAAGUGCUGAUCUAGCCAGUCUUUUCCUUUUACAGGAGGGAAAAGCUGAGGCCCAGAUAGGGGAGGGUGUGUUAAAGGUGUGGAGGUCCUGGGCUUAUAACCUCACCUAUGGAAUCAGGCAAGGGUACUCUGUCAUAAAUUACUCUCAUGUAAAUGGCUGGCAAGAGUAACAAGGUUGUUCUGAAAACUACUUCUAAAGUUACAGCAUCUGCUUUGCUCAGAUCCAGAGUAGAGUCAAAUGAAGUACUGAAAGCCAGGCAGGUGAAAGGUGAGAAUAAAUGUGCAGUAAUAUUUUAGAGUCAGUCACUGCUGAGAUUGCUGAUUUUCAGAUAUUGUCAUCACUGUGAAACCGAUAUUGGACCACACUGAACUUCAGCCCACUAGAAUGAUAAGCUCUUACAUAUACCAAAGUGGUGAAGGCAUUUGGAGAGGAAUUUUCCUAUGAAUUCUUAUGUGGGAAGCUAUGGGCUUUCUUCUGAAAAACAUAGGGAAAAGCCCCUGUGUCAAGAAAUUGUGAAGUUAAUGACCCACAACACUCUAAAAAUUGUUUAAGUAGAGCCAUAACUUCCUUAGAUUUAGGUUACAGAGAAAGACAGAGCCACCAUUCCUAAAGGAUACAGACAAGCAUUUACAUAAGGAGGAAAUGUUGGAUAUCAAUUUAACUGACUGUAGCCUUAAAGGAAGAGAAACAGCACGUAAUUUGUCACCAUUUUUCUGCCAACUACAGAAGCUAUUUUGUUCACAAAUCAAGAGUUCUAAGAAUAUUAUUGAGUCACUAGAGAGUGAUAUGAGUGGUGAGAAUACAAAGUUGUUCUCUUGACUUACCUGGGAGACUGGAAGAAAAAGAGGGAAUGUGGGGAAUCCAGCCAGGAAUAUACAGUACUGGUGGUGGACCAGGAGACUCUCUGCUUCUGCUCAGUGGAGAUAUUUGGGUGGACGAUUUUCUCAUUCACCUCAGCACUGUAGGUGCUACACAUAGCCACCGUCCAAAAACUCAUUCUUCUGAUAUAUUGAGUUGAGCAGAACUUGAUCAGAAAGAUCAUAGCUUGUGGAAUGAGGUCAGUAAAAUAGGCAAAACACCACCCCCUCAGACCAUAGUUCAUCUCCCCUCCAAUUUUAAUCCAAAGGCAGAGUUCCUUCCUAUGCCUACAAAGCACUCUGAGCUCCAUCAAUCUCUCCCCACCCUCCGUGGUAGCUGCCACUGAAAGUGGUCCUGAUAGGUGUUUAUCCCAAUAGGGGGGCAGCUAAAUCUCCUGGCCAGGCAGAACAGCAGUAUCUUUAAAUAAACCAACUUCACUUUUUAAGCCUUAAAAAUAACAAUGUGUCAGCAGCAAAGGCCCAGACAGGCAGGUUUUUCAAAUGCUCCAAAUGCCAGAGAGCUCCAAGGGGCUCCCAUGAGGCCAUUUCUUGUUCUUGCAAUCAUGUCAUGAAAGCACCAAGGACAAAGUCUGGGGAUGCAAUGCAUCCUUGAUUUUUCUCUUUCCUGUGAUCCACUGCAAGCCCAAUUAGGGUAAAGAGAAGAAAAACACUCUGCAUGCCUUGAAGGCGCCUAGUACAUUGAAAUGGAAUUGCUGUUCUCUGUAAUUAGGUCUGAGUUCACAAGUACUGUCCAGAUCAACCUACUCCUUGGUGGGUAUGAAGCAACUUGACAGCACCUAGACAUAUAAUCACAAAGCCACCUGCACGUUGUGAUACAAGAAAUCAUUUCUUCUCUCCAUUCCCUUGGACUCUCCACUUCUAUCUGUGCACUUCAGCUUCUUCUUUUUUUUUUUUUUAAUUCUGUUUGCUCUUCCUGCAUCUAGAGUAUAGAGUUUAAUAAAUCACAGCAUCGCUUAUUUGAUCCUCCCAAACAAACAUACUCUCCUCUCUGGGUCUCAGUUUCCUCAUCUGAUUUGUAAAUGAAAACUUGGAAAGAGAUUACUUUUGCACAAUUUUGCUAUCUUUUUUUUAAUAUGAAUUUUUUACCUAGGCUUUGGCUGGUCUCCUACUUGUCAGAAGGGCUGGGGUGGGGUUUGAGGUUUGGUGAUUCUCACAAGUUAACCAGUUCAGAUUGCCUUUCUCUGAGGUCUAUCAUAUAAAAUGAAGGGCAAAAAGAAAGUGAGCAGGAUGCUGGUAGAUUGUAGACUUAAAAUAUAUUCUACCACAGUUAUUGUGAAUGAGUGUGCUGUCCUUGCUGCUCUAUCUGUGGGAGUGAAGUGGACACACAAGCCCUUCUGCUGCUAUUUUCUAUACAUGUGCAAACUGAUUGACUCAUUUUCCAUAUUAUCUAGAGCUCUAUUUUUUGUUUUAGCAAGUGCAGCAUGAGUUAACAUCUUUAACAUAGAUAGAAGGGACAUAAUUGAAAAGGAUGGAGAAGUAGUAAAUUUAUGGAGUUGGACAUGAAAAGUGCCACAAGGGGCAGCAAUUGUUCUUCCUCCUCUUGCCCUCAGAAGAACGGCCUUAAGCACCCAAAAAUAAUAAGGUAUCUGCUUAAAAAUAAAGAAAAAGGAGAUGAAUGCCCUACUCUCUCUGCCCCUGAUAUUAGCAAACAUAGGAGAGUAUCAGGAAGGAGAGAGAUGUUAGAAACAACCAGGUCUGCACACCUGAAGCAUAAGAGAUUUUUGCCUGCUAGAGUAAAUGAAUCGCAUGGUAAUUACCUUGAUCCACUCUUUAGAGAGCUGCUACUUGAAGAUCCCUUUGGAAAACCCAGAAUUUCUGCUCACAAUGGAAUGAAGUGCACAAUGCCUUCUGGUACUUAGAGUUUACAUGAGUAUGCUUGUUCAUAAAUCUAAAAUUUUGAAAACUGAUGCAAAAGUUUGACAUUUGGAAAUGAUUGUAUUAUACUUCCCAUAACAUAACUUGUCAUGGCUCUGUACAGGUACUAAAUAUCUUGCUUUGAUAUUUCUGAUGCUUUGAGAAAAUGGUGGAAAUCGAGC